AGCGAACGCUGGCGGCAGGCCUAACACAUGCAAGUCGAACGAAGUCUUCGGACUAGUGGCGGACGGGUGAGUAACACGUGGGAACGUGCCUUUAGGUUCGGAAUAACUCAGGGAAACUUGUGCUAAUACCGAAUGUGCCCUUCGGGGGAAAGAUUUAUCGCCUUUAGAGCGGCCCGCGUCUGAUUAGCUAGUUGGUGAGGUAAAGGCUCACUAAGGCUACGAUCAUUAGCUGGUCUGAGAGGAUGACCAGCCACAUUGGGACUGAGACACGGCCCAAACUCCUACGGGAGGCAGCAGUGGGGAAUCUUGCGCAAUGGGCGAAAGCCUGACGCAGCCAUGCCGCGUGGAUGAUGAAGGUCUUAGGAUUGUAAAAUCCUUUCACCGGUGAAGAUAAUGACUGUAGCCGGAGAAGAAGCCCCGGCUAACUUCGUGCCAGCCGCCGCAGUAAAAC
rnacentral:rRNA from 1 species